rnacentral:rRNA from 1 species
UUUGUUUAUAUAUUGAUAAUGACAGUAUAUAUAUCGUGUCUUGACUAAUUGCGUGCCAGCAGUCGCGGUAAUACGUAAGAGACUAGUGUUAUUCAUCUUAAUUAGGUUUAAAGGGUACCCAGACGGUCAAUAUAGCUUAUAAAAUGUUAGUACUUGACUAGAGUUUUAUGUAAGAGGGCAGUACUUGAGGAGGAGAGAUGAAAUUUCGUGAUACCAAAGGGACUCUGUAAAGGCGAAGGCAGCCCUCUAUGUAAAAACUGACGUUGAAGGACGAAGGCACAGAGAACAAACAGGAUUAGAUACCCAAGUAGUCUUUGCAGUAAAUGAUGAAUGCCAUAGGUUAGAUUGAUCAAUUAUAGUCUAGGGUUAGUCUAGCAAACUAAUGCCCUAUGAUAUAAUUCAAAAUAUCUGGUCUAUAAAUGAAAGUGUAAGCAUUUCACCUCAAGAGUAAUGUGGCAACGCAGGAACUGAUAUCACUAGACCGUUUCUGACACCAG